UUGGAAACCUGGGGAAACUUGAGUGCAGAAGAGGAGAGUGGAAUUUCCACGUGUAGCGGUGAAAUGCGUAGAGAUGUUGGAGGAACACCCAGUGGCGAAGGCGACUCUCUGGUCUGUAACUGACGCUGAGGCGCGAGAAGCGUGGGGAGCGAACAGGAUUAGAUACCCUGGUAGUCCACGCCGUAAACGAUGAGUGCUAAGUGUUGGAGGGUUUCCGCCCUUUAGUGGUGCAGCAKACGCAUUAAGCACUCCGCCUGGGGAGUACGGUCGCAAGACUGAAACUCAAAGGAAUUGACGGGGGCCCGCACAAGCGGUGGAGCAUGUGGUUUAAUUCGAAGCAACGCGAAGAACCUUACCAGGUCUUGACAUCCUCUGACAACCCUAGAGAUAGGGCUUCCCCUUCGGGGGCAGAGUGACAGGUGGWGCAUGGUUGUCGUCAGCUCGUGUCGUGAGAUGUUGGGUUAAGUCCCGCAACGAGCGCAACCCUUGAUCUUAGUUGCCAGCAUUCAGUUGGGCACUCUAAGGUGACUGCCGGUGACAAACCGGAGGAAGGUGGGGAUGACGUCAAAUCAUCAUGCCCCUUAUGACCUGGGCUACACACGUGCUACAAUGGGCAGAACAAAGGGCAGCGAAGCCGCGAGGCUAAGCCAAUCCCACAAAUCUGUUCUCAGUUCGGAUCGCAGUCGGCAACUCGACUGCGUGAAGCUGGAAUCGCUAGUAAUCGCGGAUCAGCAUGCCGCGGUGAUUACGUUCCCGGGCCUUGUACACACCGCCCGUCACACCAAAAGAGUUUUAACACC
rnacentral:rRNA from 1 species